rnacentral:rRNA from 1 species
CCUACGGGGGGCAGCAGUGGGGAAUAUUGCACAAUGGGGGGAACCCUGAUGCAGCGACGCCGCGUGGGUGAGGAAGUACUUCGGUAUUGAAAGCCCUAUUAGCAGGGAAGAAAAUGACGGUACCUGACUAAGAAUCCCCGGCUAACUACGUGCCAGCAGCCGCGGUAAUACGUAGGGAGCAGGCGUUAUCCGGAUUGACUGGGUGUAAAGGGGGCGUAGGCGGCGUGCCAAGUCCGGUGUGAAAGGCCGGGGCUUAACCCCGGGACUGCAUUUGAAACUGGCAUGCUGGAGUGCCGGGGGGGUAGGCGGAAUUCCUGGUGUAGCGGUGAAAUGCGUAGAUAUUAGGAGGAACACCGGUAGCGAAGGCAGCUUGCUGGACGGUAACUGACGUUGAGGCACGAAAGCGUGGGGAGCAAACAGGAUUAGAUACCCGAGUAGUC